GGCGCGUCCACUGCCGGUGGAGCUCAAGAUCUCUGGCCGCUGGACAAGGAGGGAAGGAGCAUCGCCGCCUGGAUUCGCGCCGCUGCCAGCUGGAAUCGCGCCGUCGCCGGCCAGAAUCGUGCCUCCUCCGCCUGGAAUCGCGCCUCCUCAACCUGGAUUCGUCCCUCCUCCACCUGGAUUCGCCCUUCCCCAACGUCUGGCGUCGCCUCUGCUGCUGGUCUGCUGCCUCCCCAAGGGAGUGAUUGAGGGCAGUGGUGAUCCUUCAGACUCAGUCAUCAAGAAAAGGCACAAAAUGGGGCGGUUCUUCUAUCUCAUAUCAUGAGGAAUUUUUUUGAUCAUACAAAGUCGUUCUUCUGAAAACUGGCUUGAACUUAUACGUGGAAGCAUGCCUAUAUAUAAAUUCCGAAAGAUUAUUUUAAGAUUAUCACCUUUGAUCUCCCGCACUCCAAGCUUUUGCUUCUAUGGUAAGACAAUCCAU